GACGAACGCUGGCGGCGUGCUUAACACAUGCAAGUCGAACGAAGAGCGAUGGAAGCUUGCUUCUAUCAAUCUUAGUGGCGAACGGGUGAGUAACGCGUAAUCAACCUGCCCCUCAGAGGGGGACAACAGUUGGAAACGACUGCUAAUACCGCAUACGAUCUAAUCUCGGCAUCGAGGAUAGAUGAAAGGUGGCCUCUACAUGUAAGCUAUCACUGAAGGAGGGGAUUGCGUCUGAUUAGCUAGUUGGAGGGGUAACGGCCCACCAAGGCGAUGAUCAGUAGCCGGUCUGAGAGGAUGAACGGCCACAUUGGGACUGAGACACGGCCCAGACUCCUACGGGAGGCAGCAGUGGGGAAUCUUCCGCAAUGGACGAAAGUCUGACGGAGCAACGCCGCGUGAGUGAUGACGGCCUUCGGGUUGUAAAGCUCUGUUAAUCGGGACGAAAGGCCUUCUUGCGAAUAGUGAGAAGGAUUGACGGUACCGGAAUAGAAAGCCACGGCUAACUACGUG
rnacentral:rRNA from 1 species